UAAUUCUAUUACACCAUCAGUAUCUAUG
rnacentral:sRNA from 1 species